GACGAACGCUGGCGGCGUGCCUAAUACAUGCAAGUAGAACGCUGAAGGAGGAGCUUGCUCUUCUGGAUGAGUUGCGAACGGGUGAGUAACGCGUAGGUAACCUGCCUGGUAGCGGGGGAUAACUAUUGGAAACGAUAGCUAAUACCGCAUAAGAGUAGAUGUUGCAUGACAUUUGCUUAAAAGGUGCAAUUGCAUCACUACCAGAUGGACCUGCGUUGUAUUAGCUAGUUGGUGGGGUAACGGCUCACCAAGGCGACGAUACAUAGCCGACCUGAGAGGGUGAGCGGCCACACUGGGACUGAGACACGGCCCAGACUCCUACGGGAGGCAGCAGUAGGGAAUCUUCGGCAAUGGACGGAAGUCUGACCGAGCAACGCCGCGUGAGUGAAGGAGGUUUUCGGAUCGUAAAGCUCUGUUGUAAGAGAAGAACGAGUGUGAGAGUGGAAAGUUCACACUGUGACGGUAUCUUACCAGAAAGGGACGGCUAACUACGUG
rnacentral:rRNA from 1 species